UGGUUAAGUGACUAAGCGUACACGGUGGAUGCCUGGGCAGUCAGAGGCGAUGAAGGACGUACUAACUUGCGAUAAGCGCAGAUAAGGCAGUAAGAGCCGUUUGAGUCUGCGAUUUCCGAAUGGGGAAACCCAACUGCAUAAGCAGUUACUGUUAACUGAAUACAUAGGUUAACAGAGCAAACCGGGGGAACUGAAACAUCUAAGUACCCCGAGGAGAAGAAAUCAACCGAGAUUCCGGUAGUAGCGGCGAGCGAACCUGGAUUAGCCCUUAAGCACUCGGUGAAGUAGGUGAACAAGCUGGAAAGCUUGGCGAUACAGGGUGAUAGCCCCGUAACCGACGCUUCAUCGAGCGUGAAAUCGAGUAGGGCGGGACACGUGAUAUCCUGUCUGAAUAUGGGGGGACCAUCCUCCAAGGCUAAAUACUCCUGACUGACCGAUAGUGAACCAGUACCGUGAGGGAAAGGCGAAAAGAACCCCUGUGAGGGGAGUGAAAUAGAACCUGAAACCGUGUACGUACAAGCAGUAGGAGCACCUUCGUGGUGUGACUGCGUACCUUUUGUAUAAUGGGUCAGCGACUUAUAUUCAGUGGCAAGGUUAACCGUAUAGGGGAGCCGUAGCGAAAGCGAGUCUUAACUGGGCGCUCAGUCUCUGGAUAUAGACCCGAAACCGGGUGAUCUAGCCAUGGGCAGGUUGAAGGUUGAGUAACAUCAACUGGAGGACCGAACCGACUAAUGUUGAAAAAUUAGCGGAUGACUUGUGGCUAGGGGUGAAAGGCCAAUCAAACUCGGAGAUAGCUGGUUCUCCCCGAAAGCUAUUUAGGUAGCGCCUCGGACGAAUACUACUGGGGGUAGAGCACUGUUAAGGCUAGGGGGUCAUCCCGACUUACCAACCCUUUGCAAACUCCGAAUACCAGUAAGUACUAUCCGGGAGACACACGGCGGGUGCUAACGUCCGUCGUGGAGAGGGAAACAACCCAGACCGCCAGCUAAGGUCCCAAAGUAUUGCUAAGUGGGAAACGAUGUGGGAAGGCUCAGACAGCUAGGAUGUUGGCUUAGAAGCAGCCAUCAUUUAAAGAAAGCGUAAUAGCUCACUAGUCGAGUCGGCCUGCGCGGAAGAUGUAACGGGGCUAAGCAAUACACCGAAGCUGCGGCAAUAUCUUUUAGAUAUUGGGUAGGGGAGCGUUCUGUAAGCCGUUGAAGGUGAAUCGUAAGGUUUGCUGGAGGUAUCAGAAGUGCGAAUGCUGACAUGAGUAACGACAAAGGGGGUGAAAAACCUCCUCGCCGGAAGACCAAGGGUUCCUGUCCAACGUUAAUCGGGGCAGGGUGAGUCGACCCCUAAGGUGAGGCCGAAAGGCGUAAUCGAUGGGAAACGGGUUAAUAUUCCCGUACUUCUGACUAUUGCGAUGGGGGGACGGAGAAGGCUAGGUGGGCCAGGCGACGGUUGUCCUGGUUCAAGUGCGUAGGCUUGAGAGUUAGGUAAAUCCGGCUCUCUCUAAGGCUGAGACACGACGUCGAGCUGCUACGGCAGUGAAGUCAUUGAUGCCAUGCUUCCAGGAAAAGCCUCUAAGCUUCAGAUAGUCAGGAAUCGUACCCCAAACCGACACAGGUGGUCGGGUAGAGAAUACCAAGGCGCUUGAGAGAACUCGGGUGAAGGAACUAGGCAAAAUGGUACCGUAACUUCGGGAGAAGGUACGCUCUUGAUGGUGAAGUCCCUCGCGGAUGGAGCUGACGAGAGUCGCAGAUACCAGGUGGCUGCAACUGUUUAUUAAAAACACAGCACUGUGCAAAAUCGCAAGAUGACGUAUACGGUGUGACGCCUGCCCGGUGCCGGAAGGUUAAUUGAUGGGGUUAGCGCAAGCGAAGCUCUUGAUCGAAGCCCCGGUAAACGGCGGCCGUAACUAUAACGGUCCUAAGGUAGCGAAAUUCCUUGUCGGGUAAGUUCCGACCUGCACGAAUGGCGUAAUGAUGGCCACGCUGUCUCCACCCGAGACUCAGUGAAAUUGAAAUCGCUGUGAAGAUGCAGUGUACCCGCGGCUAGACGGAAAGACCCCGUGAACCUUUACUACAGCUUGGCACUGAACAUUGAACCUACAUGUGUAGGAUAGGUGGGAGGCUAUGAAGACGUGACGCCAGUUGCGUUGGAGCCGUCCUUGAAAUACCACCCUUGUAUGU
rnacentral:rRNA from 1 species